rnacentral:rRNA from 1 species
CUAGUAGUCAUACGCUCGUCUCAAAGAUUAAGCCAUGCGUGUGUAAGUAUAAAUAGUUAACUUUGAAACUGCGAAUGGCUCAUUAUAUCAGUUAUAGUUUAUUUGAUGAAGAAUACUAAUUGGAUAACCGUAGUAAUUCUAGUGCUAAUACAUGUAUAAAGUCUUGUAGACUGCAUUUAUUAGAAUGAAAACCAUAGGUUUCGGCCUAUUCGUGAGUAAUAAUAACUAAUCAUAUCGUAUGCUUAUGUAACGAUGUGUCUUUCAAGUUUCUGCCCUAUCAGCUUUCGAUGGUAGUGUAUUGGGCUACCAUGGCAGUAACGGGUAACGAAGAA